GAAAAGACAUCUUUUUUCUUAAGAUGAAGAAAUGCACAUUGUCCUUAGAGCAGGGGAUUCUGCAGGAUUUGCAUCACAAAACAGUACAAUAAGGCUAUUGAAGACUGUACCAAAGCACUAGAACUUAAUCCUAAUUAUCUCAAAGCACUUUUAAGGAGGGCAGAAAUGUAUGAAAAGACUGAAAAAUUAGAUGAGGCAUUAGAAGAUUACAAAAAAUUAAUUGAAAUGGAUCCAACACAACAUACUGUGAGGGAAGCAUGUAUUCGAUUGCCACAGCAAAUAACAGAAAGAAAUGAGAAAAUGAAAGAUGAAACGAUAGGAAAGUUAAAAGAAAUGGGGAACAUGGUACUAAAUGCCCUUUGGAAUGUCUACUGACAAUUUCAAAUUACAGCAAGAUCCAAAUACAGGAUCAUAUUCUGUGCAGUUUCAACAAAAUGCAAAAUAGAUUGAAAAAAUAUCAAGGGUGGUGAUCCUUUAUACCACAAGUACAAGUUUACCAGGUAUUGGUCCAGUCAGAAGCUGCAAUUAGAACUUUUCUAAAAUAGAGAAUGUAGCUGGCUUCAUCAUCCUUUAGAUGCCUUAAAUGGUUUAGCUCAGUAGCAAGAUUAUUCUGAUAUUUAUCAACUUGUUUAAAGGGGUACCACACAGCAGAUAUUCCUAACAUAAGCCAACUAAAAACUAUAAGGGAUAAAGACAUAAGAAUUUGCUUGAUAGGCAAAAUGACUGCUCAGGCAUGGGUUUUUUUUAAAUAUUAAUUUAAGGUGAUUUUUAAAUAUUUCCUGCCAAAAUGAAGUCUUGAUGCCUAUAUCUUGUCUAUCUACAUAAGGAAGCAGUGCUGUGUCAUCAAUAGGUGCUGAUGGUGAGAGAAAAUCUGAUUGUGAAUAGAGUAAAACAAGACGCCUUUUAAACUUUUUGAGCAAGCAGGAAGGAAAAGACAUCUAUUAACCCAAGAGAAAGAAAUGCAGAUUGUCCUUAUUUUAGAGUACAAUUCUUUUUAUAUCUGUUCGAGUUAAAGAAAACAA